ACGGGAGGCAGCAGUGAGGAAUAUUGGUCAAUGGGCGGAAGCCUGAACCAGCCAAGUCGCGUGAAGGAUGAAGGUAUUAUGUAUUGUAAACUUCUUUAGACGUAGAGAAAUAAGGGGAUCGUGAUCCCUGAUGCUAGUAUACGUAGAAUAAGGAUCGGCUAACUCCGUGCCAGCAGCCGCGGUAAUACGGAGGAUCCGAGCGUUAUCCGGAUUUAUUGGGUUUAAAGGGUGCGCAGGCGGCUUUCUAAGUCAGUGGUAAAAUCGGGGUGCUCAACGCCAUCCCGCCAUUGAUACUGGAGAGCUUGAUUGCGGUCGAGGUUUGCGGAAUUCGUCGUGUAGCGGUGAAAUGCAUAGAUAUGACGAAGAACACCGAUUGCGUAGGCAGCAGACCAGGCCGUAAAUGACGCUCAUGCACGAAAGUGCGGGGAUCGAACAGGAUUAGAUACCCUGGUA
rnacentral:rRNA from 1 species